GACGAACGCUGGCGGCGUGCCUAACACAUGCAAGUCGAACGAAAAGGCCCUGCCUUUGUGGGCUGCUCGAGUUGCGAACGGGUGAGUAACACGUGAGUAACCUGUCCCUGACUUUGGGAUAACUUAAGGCAACUUGGGCUAAUCCCGCCUAGGAGCUCCCGCUUCUGGAUGGGGGUUGGAUAGUUUCGGUGGUUGGUGAUGGACUAGCGGCUUAUCAGGUUGAUGGUUGGGUAGUGGCUUACCAAGACUAGGACGGGUAGCCGGCCUGAGCGGCGGACCGGCCACGUUGGGCUUGAGAUACGGCCCAGACUACUACGGGACGCAGGAGUGCAGAAUAUUGCAUAGUGGGCGGAGGCCUGGUGUGGUCACGCCGCGCGGGGGAUGACGGGCUUCGCGUAGUGUACCAAUGUCGCCUUUGACGAGGCGUGAGUGACGGUAAUGGGUAAAGAAGCACCGGCUAACUACGUG
rnacentral:rRNA from 1 species